CUCCCCAUUUCCUUGUUCACCAGAGGACCAUGACACCCCUUCCUUUUUCUUUUGCUAAAGCAUGAAGAGUGAGUGUUUCACAGACUUGUGUUGACUGUUGCGGAAGCGCUGGUGACCAUUGGAGCAGCAUCUCCCAGGAUUGAGGAAACCGUCAUUUGAAGAGAGGGCUCCUAUGCCUGGAACACAAUACGUGUCUCAGAAGGCCACUCACUGCAUGAAUGGAAAGGAGGCUAGAUGGAAGAAUUUACUGUAUAUAGUAAUAAAUAUAAAACACAUGAAUCAUAACAUAGAGCUCUGAUUAUGAAAGCAAACUGGAGAUCGUCUUCACCAAAGUCUUGAAACUCAGGCUCAGAAGAGAACAUGGUUUUUCAAUGACCACAACUGGGACGAUUGAUACUGGUGACCAAAUGCAAGCUUGGUCUUGAGCCUCUCUAUCUGGUACAUUUUCUCCCACAGCAAUUCAAGCUUUGCAUUUAUGCAGCUGUAGAAGCUGGAACAAGUCUGGUAAUGACUCUGAGCCUUGUGUUCUCAUUUGUAACAUGAAGACCAUAUUAUUUCGGUGACAAGAUUGAAGAUUGUCGGAAAUAUAUGCAAAGAACCGGCUCCAUUUCUGGCAUCCAGAGAACACUCAGGAUCUAGUUGAAGACAGAUGAAGGUGUUUUUCUGGAAGCUGGAAAGCCUUCACAGAUACAGAGUUUAUACCACUUAACAAUACAAAUCAUUUGUUUCUCGCAAUAGUCUCUCUGUUGAAGUAUGUGCUUGUCAGCUUUUGAAAUUAUGAAUAGCCCAAGUUGCGUCAGCAGAAUAGAGAGAAAAAAAGAAAGCAAAAACAACAUAUCCCUACCCUACCAAUCCACCUAUUCAAGC
ensembl:lncRNA